AACAGGAUUAGAUACCCUGGUAGUCCACGCCCUAAACGAUGUCAACUGGUUGUUGGGAGGGUUUCUUCUCAGUAACGUAGCUAACGCGUGAAGUUGACCGCCUGGGGAGUACGGCCGCAAGGUUGAAACUCAAAGGAAUUGACGGGGACCCGCGCAAGCGGUGGAUGAUGUGGUUUAAUUCGAUGCAACGCGAAAAACCUUACCUACCCUUGACAUGCCAGGAAUCUUGCAGAGAUGUGAGAGUGCUCGAAAGAGAACCUGGACACAGGUGCUGCAUGGCCGUCGUCAGCUCGUGUCGUGAGAUGUUGGGUUAAGUCCCGCAACGAGCGCAACCCUUGUCAUUAGUUGCUACGAAAGGGCACUCUAAUGAGACUGCCGGUGACAAACCGGAGGAAGGUGGGGAUGACGUCAGGUCAUCAUGGCCCUUAUGGGUAGGGCUACACACGUCAUACAAUGGCCGGGACAGAGGGCUGCCAACCCGCGAGGGGGAGCUAAUCCCAGAAACCCGGUCGUAGUCCGGAUCGCAGUCUGCAACUCGACUGCGUGAAGUCGGAAUCGCUAGUAAUCGCGGAUCAGCUUGCCGCGGUGAAUACGUUCCCGGGUCUUGUACACACCGCCCGUCACACCAUGGGAGCGGGUUCUGCCAGAAGUAGUUAGCCUAACCGCAAGGAGGGCGAUUACCACGGCAGGGUUCGUGACUGGGGUGAAGUCGUAACAAGGUAACC
rnacentral:rRNA from 1 species